rnacentral:rRNA from 1 species
CUACGGGAGGCAGCAGUGGGGAAUAUUGGACAAUGGGGGGAACCCUGAUCCAGCAAUGCCGCGUGUGUGAAGAAGGUCUUCGGAUUGUAAAGCACUUUCACUAGGGAAGAUGAUGACGGUACCUAGAGAAGAAGCCCCGGCUAACUUCGUGCCAGCAGCCGCGGUAAUACGAAGGGGGCUAGCGUUGCUCGGAAUGACUGGGCGUAAAGGGCGCGUAGGCUGUUUGUACAGUCAGAUGUGAAAUCCCCGGGCUUAACCUGGGAACUGCAUUUGAUACGUGCAGACUAGAGUCCGAGAGAGGGUUGUGGAAUUCCCAGUGUAGAGGUGAAAUUCGUAGAUAUUGGGAAGAACACCGGUUGCGAAGGCGGCAACCUGGCUCGGAACUGACGCUGAGGCGCGAAAGCGUGGGGAGCGAACAGGAUUAGAUACCCUGGUAGUCCACGCUGUAAACGAUGUGUGCUGGAUGUUGGGUGAUUUUAUCAUUCAGUGUCGGAGCUAACGCGUUAAGCACACCGCCUGGGGAGUACNGCCGCAAGGUUGAAACUCAAAGGAAUUGACGGGGGCCCGCACAACCGGUG